rnacentral:rRNA from 1 species
CAAGGUCGAUGGGCCUUGCACCAAAGACGGUUCUGCCGUCGCAAGAGGAGGGGGCUGCGCCCUAUUAGCUUGUUGGUGGGGUAAUGGCCCACCAAGGCAUUGAUGGGUAGUUGGUCUGAGAGGACGACCAGCCACAUUGGGACUGAGAUACGGCCCGGACUCCUACGGGAGGCAGCAGUGGGGAAUCUUGGACAAUGGGGGAAACCCUGAUCCAGCGACAUCGCGUGGGGGAUGAAGGCUUUCGGGUUGUAAACCCCUUUUCUGGGGGAAGAAUAAGGUUGGGAGGAAAUGCCCAUCCGAUGACGGUACUCCAGGAAUAAGCAUCGGCAAACUUCGUGCCAGCAGCCGCGGUAAGACGAAGGAUGCGAGCGUUAUCCGGAAUUACUGGGCGUAAAGGGCGUCUAGGCGGUUGGGUAAGUCACUUGUGAAAGCCCUCGGCUUAACCGAGGAAAGUCUCGUGAUACUGCCCAGCUUGGGUGUAGGAGAGGGGAGUGGAACUCACAGAGUAGCGGUGGAAUGCGUAGAUACUGUGAGGUACCCCGAUGGCGAAGGCAACUCCCUGGCCUACUACCGACGCUGAAGCGCGAAAGCGUGGGGAGCAAAGGGGAUUAGAUACCCCCGUAGUCCACGCCCCAAACGAUGUUCACUUGGUGUCGGCCGCAAAUAUAGGUCGGUGCCGGAGCUAACGCGUUAAGUGAACCGCCUGAGGAGUACGGCCGCAAGGCUAAAACUCAAGAGAAUUGACGGGUCCCCGCACAAGCGGUGGAGCACGUGGUUUAAUUCGAUUUAAGCGAAGAACCUCACCUAGGCUUGACAUACUAGUGGUAGGAACCUGAAAGGGGGACGACCCUGCCUUCGGGUAGGGAGCUAGUACAGGUGAUGCAUGGCUGUCGUCAGCUCGUGUCGUGGGAUGUAGGGUUAAGUCCCGAAACGAGCGCAACCCUUGUCGUUAGUUGCCAGCGGGUAAUGCCGGGGACUCUAGCGAGACUGCUGGUGAAUAGCCGGAGGAAGGCGGGGAUGACGUCAAGUCAUCAUGUCCCUUAUGCCUGGGGCGACACACAUGCUACAAUGGGGGGUACAGAGGGUCGCAAUACCGUAAGGUGGAGCCAAUCUCAAAAAACCCUCCUCAGUUCGGAUUGAGGUCUGCAACUCGACCUCAUGAAGCCGGAAUCGCUAGUAAUCGUAGGUCAGCCAUACUACGGUGAAUAUGUACUCGGGGAUUGU